rnacentral:rRNA from 1 species
GAUGAACGCUGGCGGCGUGCCUAAUACAUGCAAGUCGAGCGAACAGACGAGGAGCUUGCUCCUUUGACGUUAGCGGCGGACGGGUGAGUAACACGUGGGUAACCUACCUAUAAGACUGGGAUAACUUCGGGAAACCGGAGCUAAUACCGGAUAAUAUUUCGAACCGCAUGGUUCGAUAGUGAAAGAUGGCUUUGCUAUCACUUAUAGAUGGACCUGCGCCGUAUUAGCUAGUUGGUAAGGUAACGGCUUACCAAGGCAACGAUACGUAGCCGACCUGAGAGGGUGAUCGGCCACACGGGAACUGAGACACGGUACAGACUCCUACGGGAGGCAGCAGUAGGGAAGCUUCCGCAAUGGGCGAAAGCCUGACGGAGCAACGCCGCGUGAGUGAUGAAGGUCUGCGGAUCGUAAAACUCUGUUAUUAGGGAAGAACAAACGUGUAAGUAACUGUGCACGUCUGGACGGUACCUAAUCAGAAAGCCACGGCUAACUACGU